rnacentral:rRNA from 1 species
GAUGAACGCUGGCGGCGUGCCUAAUACAUGCAAGUCGAGCGAACAGACGAGGAGCUUGCUCCUCUGACGUUAGCGGCGGACGGGUGAGUAACACGUGGAUAACCUACCUAUAAGACUGGGAUAACUUCGGGAAACCGGAGCUAAUACCGGAUAAUAUAUUGAACCGCAUGGUUCAAUAGUGAAAGACGGUUUUGCUGUCACUUAUAGAUGGAUCCGCGCCGCAUUAGCUAGUUGGUAAGGUAACGGCUUACCAAGGCAACGAUGCGUAGCCGACCUGAGAGGGUGAUCGGCCACACCGGAACUGAGACACGGUCCAGACUCCUACGGGAGGCAGCAGUAGGGAAUCUUCCGCAAUGGGCGAAAGCCUGACGGAGCAACGCCGCGUGAGUGAUGAAGGUCUUCGGAUCGUAAAACUCUGUUAUUAGGGAAGAACAAAUGUGUAAGUAACUAUGCACGUCUUGACGGGACCUAAUCAGAAAGCCACGGCUAACUACGU